CUUAUUUCCUUUCACUUCUUUCUAAACAAAAGAACAAUCCAAACCUAAAAAACAAUGAUUGUCGCUGCUACUUUCUUCAUUAGUCUACCGCACGCCACCAUAAGUUGUCACCGGUGCCAAAAGCCCAAAACCACUGUCAAGUUCCUUCAUUCUCUUUUUCACUAAAACGCAGAAACCAAAAACCCACAGCCCAUACUACCUUUAAUCACCACCUUUGUCGUCCUUUUUAGCACCUUCAUCUUAUUUUAUCUCAGAAAUUUCAAACCCAUAAACUGUUUGAAUUUCCUAAACCCAAAAUCCAGAGAAUGAAACCUUUGCUGCCAAAUAAGAAAAGGAAAAGAAAACUUAGUCUUUUUUUUUUUUUUUUAAUAGUUUUGCAGUGUUUUUGGUUGAUAAGUUGUGGAUGGGUUGGUUCUGGAUAUUGGUUUUUUGGGUUUUUUUUAUGGAUUCUUGUGGAUUAGUGUUAUUUUUAUGUUAGUUGAUGCUGGACGGUUGUACUGGGUUUGAUGGUUGAAACUGGGUAGUUCACAAUGGCAUAAGGCUUUUCGGUAUUAAGCUCAAAUAUUACUUUCUGGAAAUUGUUGGUUUUGAUUGCUGUCUCUGGACCCUGGCUUGGUUGAUUGGGGUUAAAUAAAUCAUUUUCUGCAGGAAUUUCAGAGAUUUUUAUUAAAUAAC
rnacentral:lncRNA from 1 species